rnacentral:tRNA from 1 species
GGACGUGGCUCAGGGGGUAGACUGCUUGCCUCGCAUGCACAAGGCCCUGGGUUCAAUCCCCAGCACCA